rnacentral:rRNA from 1 species
UACGUAGGUGGCAAGCCGUUGUCCGGAAUUAUUGGGCGUAAAGGGCUCGCAGGCGGUUUCCUUAAGUCUGAUGUGAAAGCCCCCGGCUCAACCGGGGAGGGUCAUUGGAAACUGGGAAACUUGAGUGCAGAAGAGGAGAGUGGAAUUCCACGUGUAGCGGUGAAAUGCGUAGAGAUGUGGAGGAACACCAGUGGCGAAGGCGACUCUCUGGUCUGUAACUGACGCUGAGGAGCGAAAGCGUGGGGAGCGAACAGG